UUCAAUUCUGGUUUCCUCGGUGUGUAUGCCCAGAAGUGGGAUUGCUGGGUCAUAAGGCUGUUCUAUUUCCAGUUUUUUAAGGAAUCUCCACAUUGUUCUCCAUAGUGGCUGAACUAGUUUGCAUUCCCACCAACAGUGUAAGAGGGUUCCCUUUUUUCCACACCCUCUCCAGCAUUUAUUGCUUGUAGACUUUUGGAUCGCUGCCAUUCUGACUGGCAUGAAAUGGUACCUCAUUGUGGUUUUGAUUUGCAUUUCUCUGAUAAUGAGUAAUGUUGAGCAUAUUUUCAUGUUUGUUAGCCAUCUGUAUGUCUUCUUUGGAGAAAUGUCUGUUUAGUUCUUUGGCCUAUUUUUUUGAUUGGGUCGUUUAUUUUUCUGGAAUUGAGCUGCAGGAGUUGCUUGUAUAUUUAAUUUUAUAAACAGCUUGUCAUAUUGCUUUGAAGAUUUAGGAAAAAUUUGGCUAAAUUUUAUCAAAUUCAAAAACAAUAGCAUGUAUGCUAUUAUUUUAAUACUGCUAAGAUUAUUCUAAAUAACAGAUGUGUAAUCUAAAAAUUAAACACAUAAAUAUAGACUUAAUAAAUGUCCAUUACUAUAUAUAGUACAUAUAUAUGCUAUUUGUUAGACAGUCACUGAAAUCAGAAUGCACAUAGCUGCAAGUCAAUCUAUGCUCUUUGUGGAAGGGAAAAUUGAAAGGUGCUUUAUCUCCCUCUAGCCUCUAAUUAAAAAUCUGCAGGCUAGACAUUUGCCACAAAAAGCAAUUAGAAUCUUAAAAUUUGGCAUUGACUUAUGGCAUAGCUGAGGGCUUCCCAGGUGGUGCUAGUGGUAAAGAACCUGCGUGCCAAUGCAGAAGACGUAAGGUCCACGGGUUUAUUCAGGGCAUGGCAACCCAUUCCAGUAUCCUUGCCUGCAGAAUCCCGUGGACAGAGGAGCCUAGCAGCUAUAGUCCAUAGGGUGGCAAAGUCCCACAUGACUGAAGUGACUUAGCAUGUAUGCAUGCAGGGGAUAGCUGAAUGAAGGGCCAUAUAAAUACAUAAAUAU
ensembl:lncRNA